rnacentral:rRNA from 1 species
CGCAGCCGCAGUAAUUCCAGCUCCAAUAGCGUAUAUUAAAGUUGUUGCAGUUAAAAAGCUCGUAGUUGAAUUUCGGGGUUAGUAAGUUGGUCAUGCCUUCGGUAUGUACUGGCUUUACUGAUUCCUCCUUCUUGACGAACCGUGAUGUCAUUAAUUUGGUGUUGCGGGAAAUCAGGACUGUUACUUUGAAAAAAUUAGAGUGUUUAAAGCAGGCUAACGCUUGAAUACAUUAGCAUGGAAUAAUGAAAUAGGACGUUAAUCCUAUUUUGUUGGUUUUCUAGGAUCGACGUAAUGAUUAAUAGGGAUAGUUGGGGGCAUUAGUAUUCAAUUGUCAGAGGUGAAAUUCUUGGAUUUAUUGAAGACUAACUACUGCGAAAGCAUUUGCCAAGGAUGUUUCAUUAAUCAAGAACGAAAGUAGGGGUAUCGAAGACGAUCAGAUACCGUCGUAGUCUUAACCAUAAACUAUGCCGACUAGGGAUCGGAUGAUGUUAUUUUUUAAUGUACUCAUUCGGCGCCUUAC